rnacentral:rRNA from 2 species
AGAGUUUGAUCCUGGCUCAGGAUGAACGCUGGCGGCGUGCCUAAUACAUGCAAGUCGAGCGAACGGACGAGAAGCUUGCUUCUCUGAUGUUAGCGGCGGACGGGUGAGUAACACGUGGAUAACCUACCUAUAAGACUGGGAUAACUUCGGGAAACCGGAGCUAAUACCGGAUAAUAUUUUGAACCGCAUGGUUCAAAAGUGAAAGACGGUCUUGCUGUCACUUAUAGAUGGAUCCGCGCUGCAUUAGCUAGUUGGUAAGGUAACGGCUUACCAAGGCAACGAUGCAUAGCCGACCUGAGAGGGUGAUCGGCCACACUGGAACUGAGACACGGUCCAGACUCCUACGGGAGGCAGCAGUAGGGAAUCUUCCGCAAUGGGCGAAAGCCUGACGGAGCAACGCCGCGUGAGUGAUGAAGGUCUUCGGAUCGUAAAACUCUGUUAUUAGGGAAGAACAUAUAUGUAAGUAACUGUGCACAUCUUGACGGUACCUAAUCAGAAAGCCACGGCUAACUACGUGCCAGCAGCCGCGGUAAUACGUAGGUGGCAAGCGUUAUCCGGAAUUAUUGGGCGUAAAGCGCGCGUAGGCGGUUUUUUAAGUCUGAUGUGAAAGCCCACGGCUCAACCGUGGAGGGUCAUUGGAAACUGGAAAACUUGAGUGCAGAAGAGGAAAGUGGAAUUCCAUGUGUAGCGGUGAAAUGCGCAGAGAUAUGGAGGAACACCAGUGGCGAAGGCGACUUUCUGGUCUGUAACUGACGCUGAUGUGCGAAAGCGUGGGGAUCAAACAGGAUUAGAUACCCUGGUAGUCCACGCCGUAAACGAUGAGUGCUAAGUGUUAGGGGGUUUCCGCCCCUUAGUGCUGCAGCUAACGCAUUAAGCACUCCGCCUGGGGAGUACGACCGCAAGGUUGAAACUCAAAGGAAUUGACGGGGACCCGCACAAGCGGUGGAGCAUGUGGUUUAAUUCGAAGCAACGCGAAGAACCUUACCAAAUCUUGACAUCCUUUGACAACUCUAGAGAUAGAGCUUUCCCCUUCGGGGGACAAAGUGACAGGUGGUGCAUGGUUGUCGUCAGCUCGUGUCGUGAGAUGUUGGGUUAAGUCCCGCAACGAGCGCAACCCUUAAGCUUAGUUGCCAUCAUUAAGUUGGGCACUCUAAGUUGACUGCCGGUGACAAACCGGAGGAAGGUGGGGAUGACGUCAAAUCAUCAUGCCCCUUAUGAUUUGGGCUACACACGUGCUACAAUGGACAAUACAAAGGGCAGCGAAACCGCGAGGUCAAGCAAAUCCCAUAAAGUUGUUCUCAGUUCGGAUUGUAGUCUGCAACUCGACUACAUGAAGCUGGAAUCGCUAGUAAUCGUAGAUCAGCAUGCUACGGUGAAUACGUUCCCGGGUCUUGUACACACCGCCCGUCACACCACGAGAGUUUGUAACACCCGAAGCCGGUGGAGUAACCUUUUAGGAGCUAGCCGUCGAAGGUGGGACAAAUGAUUGGGGUGAAGUCGUAACAAGGUAGCCGUAUCGGAAGGUGCGGCUGGAUCACCU